GGGCCUAUGGCUCAGAGGCUAGAGCGUCCGGCUGAUAACCGGGAGGUCGGGGGUUCGAAUCCCCCUAGGCCCA
rnacentral:tRNA from 1 species